AACGCAACACAACGCAACGCAACGCAACGCAUCGCAUAGAAAAUUGAAAAGUGUGCAUGCACCCUAAAUAUGAAGCUGCAGCAACAGUCCCAGUAAUUCACAUUAAGGACACAAACUGACUUUCACACAUUACGAGGGCGGUCUGUACAAAGUUUGUUUGCUGCUGAAUGUCGCAGUCGGCAAUAUUCCAGGUAUUUCACAGCUAUUCCGACUCUGUUUGAGAUUAUCAAGCGGUCCACACAUUGGAAUAUGAUAACAUGCGAUAACAAGUAAUUAACUUAACACAGCAAGCAUGCACAACACGUAGGAUUAGUUCAUAUCAGAAUGUUUAACGCAACACUCAACAAAUAUAUGUUAAUCUUUCCAUUAAAUCCAGUUUAA